AGAUUACCAACACAGGACCAGCAGGCCAGGGGUGGAGAGCUUAAUGUUCUAUAUCGAAAAGACACAGAAAUAGCUUGUAGGGUGAGAAGAUUGCAAUGCAAGAGGAGGCCCCACAGGUGACCUACUUCCUCCGGUGCCUUUGGCAGACUAAGGAAACAAUGCCCAGAAAAGAUCAGUAACUUUCCCUGAAGCCCAUUGAGUGCCAACUUCAGAGACAGCAUCGCCUGAAGACAAGCAGGGCCAAGCAUACAAGGUUGCUUCUCCAUCAACAGAUUGAAGAAGUCCUUGGGGGAGUGGACGAGUUCUUUCCCAUUUAGGAAUUAACAAGCAGGUAGAUCACCCAUCUGACAACCUUUCAUAGGAUGAACUGCCUGGCUUUGUCUGGCCUGUUGUGUGGGAACAUAGCCUAAGCGACACCAUUGACAGUCACCGAGCACUCUGCAAGAGAAGAUACUGCUACACAGUCAUCCAAGAAAAUGAUGAAAGAAUGCUAUUGAAAAGAUUAUCACUUAGUUGGGGAUAUACAGGGUUACAUCAGAUAACUCACAAGUGCCAGCUAGCACGUAGUUCCGUCAAUGAACAUUUUUUGGCCACCUGUCAAAUGAGGUGAGCCCCAACGCAAUGGGUAUCAUGAGUAACGUUCUUGGUCCAUCACGGGAAAAGCUGGGCUUUCUGUGCAUAAACACAGUAAAAUGCUACAUUUACACUUUCGUUCAUGGCAUGUUUUAAGGCUGCACUUCGUUUUUAAACGGAGACCCUGAAUUUUCUGAGCUCAGGCCUUACAGAACCUGACUUUGGCCAUUUUGGGGGGAAAAUGGGUUAGAAUAUGGAAAUAAAAUGUGAUCAUGCCUUGACACUCUGAGUUGUGAGUGCUGGGAGCCAAAGUCAGGCAUUCCCCAAGAGAAAUAAGCACCCUUAACUCCCAAGUCCUCGCUCCUUGCCUAAACGUUACUUCUUAACCAAUCCACAUACUCCUGAAGCAAAAUCUUUGUGAGAAACUGCGUGCAAGAAGCAAAGAAAGCAGAGUUCAGCCGCAAGCACAUCCUUACAGAGUGCCCUUCAGGUCACACUGGCUGCUGGAUUGACACAGGUUGAAAAGCAGAGAGAAAGAAUAAAAAUGAUACGUUAACUCCUCACAGACGCAGGAGGACCCAGGGUAAAAUGGGAGUGUGAUGUCCUUGUUCAAAUGAUGUCAAGAAUUUCACGGCGAUGACGUGGGAUCAUAGGAGCCUUUGAAGCACACAGCUCUGACUCUACAGGUCAACCCUACACAGUGUCAGGCCUGAGUAGAGGGACAGGCCUAGAAAGGGUGCUGGUGGUUACUCUCCAUGAACUCUAUUCCAGACUCUGCAAAACCCAUCCACAGGUCAAUCUCUGUGAGCAAACUAGUAUCAAUAUUUUUCAGAGAAAAAAAAAAUCUCAAGAAGAUUAGGCUGUUUGUAUAAAAUGUACAAUAGUAAGUCUGUGUGUGCUGAAAUGAAGGAGCAAGGGGAGGGAGUGAGGGAAGAGACAAAAAGAACCAGGAACACCGGCUUCUAGCCUAAGCUCGUUUACUAAGGCCAAAAUAUCAAAAAGGUCUCAUUACUAUUAUAGUGAACCACAAUUGAGGCCAUGAAUACAAACUGAAAAAUACCUUUGUCCUUUGUCAUUUCCUUGAACCAUUUUAGUUCUGUGCUUCUGAAGGCAGGUCUUUAUUGCUUCAAAAGCAGACUCAUUUGGAAGCUUGUAGACUCUGUCCUUGUAUCUACUGUGUUUGGCACGGAGCUAAAUGACUACUCCUCUGUUUGCAAUUUAUUUAUAUGAGAAGUGAAAUGUCAGGUUCACACUGGGUGAACUACUCUUUAUAAACAUACAAACAAAUGCAAACGUUUGCUGCCAAAGUGUCCAGAAAGACCAAACCAGAGACAAGAAAUAUCUCAACUCCAACUGCCCAGCUCUUCCACGUGGCCCGUUCAACAGACGGAAGGAAACAAGAGUGGUCAAAACUAAGCCCAAGUGAAUACGACUUUGACAGAUUUCAUAGAAGACACCAAGUGAAGGAUAUUUCUGAUACUAUGGACACCAACAUUAUAAAACUGAGGGGGGAAACGUAGUUCUAACUCUGGAGUGGAAUCUUCUAGAAUCCUGCCAGGUAUCUUUAGCGAGACUUGAACAUUGUCAUUUUCUCUCGUGCUUGUGGGUUUCUUUGUAUCUGUAAAGCAUAACCAGGAAUUGCCUGAGAGACUAGGGAUGUAGCUCCUUUGGAAGAGUGUUAACCCAACCCAGCAGGCACAAAGCCCCAGGUUCCACCCUUAGCAGUCUAUAAAGCUGGUGAGGUGGUGGACACCUUUAACCGUGGCACUUGGGAGGUAGAGGCGGGAGUUUGAGGCCACCUUGGUCUAUGAGAUUCUAUCUAAAAUAAACCAAUCCUUUGAUUAAGAAGGAAACUAUUUUUAAAUUUAACAUCGAUGUACCUACACUUGAUUUGUACAUGAUCCCCAAAUGUCCCAGU